rnacentral:sRNA from 1 species
AAAGGGACUUGGACGCGAAAGCGCUGGUGGCGCUCAGCCGGCUGGGAGUUGUAGCUUUCUGGCUGCUACAGCAGGAGAUACAGGUGGCCAAUGGGUGAGCUGGCUGGAGGGUCAUGGAUGGGCUAAAAUGAGAUCACUCCUGGCCAACGCAUGGAAGGACACCUGGCGUGCAUCAGCUCUCAGCUGUUCUUACCGUCUGUCUCGAUCUCUCAGCAGUAUUCAGCACAAGUCUACAUGGCUGACCCCCAAAACAACCCUGGACACCAAGGCCCAAAUGAGGACACCGAGGCACACACAGCUUCAGUUGCUUGCCUGGAGUCACCCAUGUGAUUUGCAAUACCAGGUAAGCAGUGUCAUGUGACUUGCUUUGGCCAAUCAAGUGUGAGUGGGAGGGAGCUGCGGCAUCGCAUCCAAGGAGAAGCCUUCGCAGCCACCCCUGCCAGAUAUGGAUGGAGUCUCACUCUGUCGCCCAGGCUGGAGUGCAGUAGCACGAUCUUGGCUCACUGGAAGCUACGCCUCCUGAGUUCACACCAUUCUCCUGCCUCAGCCUCCCGAGUAGCUGGGACUACAGAGACAGGUGCUCGUUAUGUUGGCCAGGCUGGUCUUGAACUCCUGGGCUCAAGUGAUCCUCUCGCUUCGGCCUCCCAAAGUGCUAAGAUUACAGCUCCCAGAAGCUGGCAGCCUGGCCCUGGCAGCCUGGCCUUCACCCCCCGCCAGGAGGCCGGAGGAGUUUUCUCAGGGGGAUUUGACCAGCCCCAGAGGAAGAACGAAAGAUGGUGACAUCUGGCACUCCCCAACGUAUAAAGCAAGAUGCAAAACAGCAUGUACAGGCCGGGUGUGGUGGCCCCGACCUGUAAUCCCAGCACUUCAGGAGGCCAAGUUCUUCAGUGUACUGGACACAUUUCAAGUGCUCAGUAGCCACUUGUGGCUGGGGGUGCAGAAUCACAGAACGUUUCCAUCCUGGAAGAAAGUUCUACUGGGCAGCGCUACACUAGAAGGUAAGCUCUCUGCCGACAGAGACCACGUGGGUCUGGUUUGCUGCUGCAUCCCCAAUGCCUCGGUAAGUACUUAUUGAAUGAAUGAACGGAUGAAUGGAGGAAAGGAGUGAAGGGAUGAGAGGGCGGAUGAAGGAAUGAAUGACCCACGAGUCUUCAGCGCGGCUUUCCCCGGCCCCCUCCCCCGGCCUGCCUCUCCCGAGACCCCACCUUGGCCUCGGGGUCGGUGCGGAAGAGGCCCUCGAGCACGUGCAGGGCGUCCAGGACGCCGUGGUCGCGGCCCUUGCAGUAGGAGAGCAGGCGGCGCACGUCGGCUGGGGCCACGAACUGCUUGGAGAUCUUGUUGGUGGUGCGCACCGGCAGGCAGGCGUUGGCCAGCAGGUGGCCCGGGCGGAAGUAGUAGGCGAACUCCAGCGGGCAGGCCGGGUGUGAGUGGGUCAGCUGGCACUCCGUCACCACGAGGCGGUCCCGCAGCGGGCUCAGCUUGACGAUGAUGAAGGCGGGGCAGCCGGGCUGGGGAGGCCUGUGGGAGGAACCACCACCGCCCUGGUCACAUCACUCUGCUGCCCUCUUCUUCCUUUCCACUCACCAUUUUUUUUUUUUAAACUAAGAAUUGUUUCAGGCAUAGAGAAGAGUAGAGGGCCCUAAGAAUAUGCCAGCUGUGUGACCUGGGGCAAGUCACUUCAAGUCUCUAUGCCUCAGUUUCCUCAUAGGUUACAAGGAAGGUCCUACUCAUCAUACCUUCCUCAUAGGAUUGUCAUGAGCAUGAAAAGAGUUAAUAUAGGUAAAGCACCUACACAGUGUCUGGAAUAUGGCAAGCAGUAAGUGUUCACUAAAAUUCUAUACCUACCACCCUUAGUUCUGUCAAAAGUGAGGGAAUAUUUUAUUGUAUUUACCUUAACUAUUUUUAGAAAUAAAAAAUUUCAGAUAGUCCUGUAUCUGCUUCUGGUUUAGCAAUAACAUCAAAAGUUGAGGCCUUCUGUGAACGCUGCCCUAACAGAUUAUCUUCCUUCCCUCUGUCCCCAGAGGCAGCCACUAUCAAAAUUAUCUAUUAGCAUUCCAUGUAUAUUUUUAUGCACCCAUAAACAAUGGGAGGUAUGUUUCUCUGUUUUAAAAGCAUUGUAUACGUGAAAAAGGACUCAAACUCAUUAGUCAUCAAAGACGUAACAAAUUAAAACCCUAAGGAAAUGCCACUACACAUCAGCAGAAUGGUCAAACAAAAGAGACUGAUAACAUCAAGUGUUGAUGAGGACAUGGAGCAACUGGAACUCUCACCCAUCACUGAUGGGAACGUGAAAUGGCACAAGCACUUUGGAAAACUUCAUGGCAGUAUCUACUAAAGCAAAUUUUAUGUCUCUCCUGUGACCCAGUGGUGCCACUCAAGACAAAUGGGCAUCUAAAGAUGUGUACGAGAAUGUUCAUAGCAGCACUAUGUAUAUUCGCCAAAUGCUUGAAACCUAAAUAUCCAACAAUAGAGUGAGAAAAUAAGUUGUGGUGUAUUCCUAAAAUAAAACACUAAUCAGCACCAAGAAUGAACACACCGUUACAACCUCCAAUGACACGGAUGAAUCUCACAAACCUACCAAGUGAAAGAAGCCAGACAUGAAAGAGAAACUGUGAUAUAAUUCCCAUUUACAUAAAGUUCAACAGCAGGCAAAGUUAACCUCUGCCAUUAGGAGGCUAGAUAGUGGUUACCCUUAAGUGGUUAACCCUGUGAGGGGGCACCAGGAGGUUUCUUGGGACUGGACAUAUUCUGUUUCUUGUUCUGGGUGCUGGUUACCUCUGAUUUUUUUUUUUGGGGGAAAAUUCAUUCAGUUGCACACAUAUGAUGUGUGUACUUUUCUGGAUGUGUGUUACAUUUUUAAAAAGUCUACUUCAAAAAAACUUUGUUUUUGGCCGGGCGUGGUGGCUCACGCCUGUAAUCCCAGCACUUUGGGAGGCUGAGGGGGGACAGAUCACCUGAGAUCAGGAGUUUGAGACCAGCCUGGCCAACAUGGUGAAACCCUGUCUCUACUAAAAAAAAAAAAAAAAAAAAAAAAAAUUAGCCAGGCGUGGUGGCUAAUAAUAGGCUAAUGGGAUUACACCUGUAAUUCCAGCUACUUGGGAGGCUGAGGAAGGAGAAUGGCUUUAACCCAGCAGGCAGAGAUUGCAGUGAGCCGAGAUUACACUACUGCACUCCAGCCUGUGUGACAGAGCGAGACCCUGUCUCAAAGC